UACGUAGGGUGCGAGCGUUGUCCGGAAUUACUGGGCGUAAAGAGCUCGUAGGUGGUUUGUCGCGUUGUUCGUGAAAUCUCACGGCUUAACUGUGAGCGUGCGGGCGAUACGGGCAGACUAGAGUACUGCAGGGGAGACUGGAAUUCCUGGUGUAGCGGUGGAAUGCGCAGAUAUCAGGAGGAACACCGGUGGCGAAGGCGGGUCUCUGGGCAGUAACUGACGCUGAGGAGCGAAAGCGUGGGGAGCGAGCAGG
rnacentral:rRNA from 1 species